UCCCUACACUGCGCUCCAUACAUAUAUAUGCACACAGGAGAAGCAUAUAAUUUUAGAGCCAGAAAGCACUUUAUACAGGGCACAAUUUGUGAUCUUUGCCGGGGGUACAGAAAGGCCUCGUUUCAGCUCCAGUGAAUGCCUUUCUACACUGGAACCAGCCCUGACUCUUCCAAACAAUGAUGAGGACCAUCAUUAACAUCAUUAACAGUGACCCACAGCUUCCCAAAUAUUUCCUGUCAUCCUUCUGAACAAGAUGGAAAAACGUGGACUAGAUGGGAGAAAAAUUCUGAGGAGAAAAGAACCUGUGAAUCACCCACCCCACAAACAGAAAACUCUUUGAACCAGAGCUGUCCUGAUACAGGAG